rnacentral:rRNA from 1 species
GCUCAGGAUGAACGCUGGCGGCGUGCUUAACACAUGCAAGUCGAACGAAAAGAGGGAAAGAGCUUGCUCUUUCCGGAAUUGAGUGGCAAACGGGUGAGUAACACGUAAACAACCUGCCUUCAGGAUGGGGACAACAGACGGAAACGACUGCUAAUACCGAAUAAGUUCCAAGGGCCGCAUGGCCCAUGGAAGAAAAGGUGGCCUCUACCUGUAAGCUAUCGCCUGAAGAGGGGUUUGCGUCUGAUUAGCUGGUUGGAGGGGUAACGGCCCACCAAGGCGACGAUCAGUAGCCGGCCUGAGAGGAUGAACGGCCACACUGGAACUGAGACACGGUCCAGACUCCUACGGGAGGCAGCAGU